AAAAGUUUAUAAAACUGCUCACACUCUGGUGCUUGCACCCACCCAAUAUACUGGCAGUGAGCCUGUCUUGUUCAGAAAUGAAGACUCAGACAUAGACAGUAAAGCUUCUUUUCAGUUCUACUGUCACAGUUACUGAACAUGUGCCACGGGAGGCAAAUUUCUUUGGAUCUCCUUCUGUAGCAUCCUCUUUUCAAACAGAAAACACACACGGAGAGCUAAACUAGAAAAUUCUACAGAGAUGAAAGUGAUGCUAUUCAGCACUUCGUCUUAGAAAUCAAGUUGGAAUAAGCUUCCCUAAAGAAUGAUUGGUAAACUGGACCUGUGCAGCUUUUCAUGAAACAUUCCAAUCGGGAAAUGACUACUAAAUACCAGCUGCAGCUCCAGGUGCCCCAGCCACCCCUCCGGAGCCCUGUGUCAGGAGAGUAUCUGUGGCCCAGGUGCAGGUUUGAAGACAGCCCACAGCAGCCUAGAGAUCACUGUGCAUUUCCUGCACAGAAAAACCUGGAAGAUUGUGGAAAUGUAAACUAUGGAAUGACUGGGACCAAAGCCAAAAAUGUCUUCACCACAUAAUGUAGGCUCACUCAACCAUGGAGAAAAGAAAGACAUUGAAGGAGUCAAACUAAAUAUCACCUACAUUUCAUCCCUGAGAACAGAGGCUUCCAGAUCAUGGAAGAUGAAAAUGGUGUCUUGUAAAAAAGUUUUGCAAAUCAAUGUAUUUAAAGACCAAAGUACACCAAAAAAGUGUCUUGCCAUUUCUAAUGAAAUAUAUCCACAAAC
rnacentral:lncRNA from 1 species